AUCUUGAAAGUCAGAAGGAAGAUGGAGAUUGAAUCAGUUAGUGGUGACAGUGAAUUCUUUCAGCCUGGAAUCACUACCAGCUCCUGUUUCACAUUGUAGUGUCAUUGCUUCCUAUGCCUCCCUCAACAACUCUUUUUUUUUUUUCACCAACACUUCUCACAGCUUUUCUUUUAAUACUCUGUUGUUAAUGGUAGCCUGUACAUGUCAGAAGUGCAGGGCAGGAGGGGGAAGAUUCCAUGGAGAGCCUUCUCCUAGUGGUUGUCACCACACUGGAAGUGAACCUUCCCAACAGUCAUCUCUCAAGGUGAAAGGAUGAGCAAGAGUAGUUCUCAGUGAACUGCUCUGGGUAGCUCUUGAGCAGUAAGUGAUAUAAAAACCCUACCAAAGUUCUGAAGCACCAGUAGAAUUGGACCCAGGAGCUCAAAAGAGUUGAGGCAGGCUCAGACCCUUCAUAUCUUUUAUCCCCUGUGUUGAAUCAGUCACAGGACUGGGAAAAACUUUUCACCCAACUGGUUCCUGGGAGAUUAAUCAGAGUUGUGUCCUUGGGAUGAUCCUUUUCAUCCUUCAUUUGAAAUUACUGUUCACUGGAAAGGAGUGAAAAAAGUAUCACGAAGGAAGCUUUCUAAAUUUCUAGUGAUAAGUUAAUUGAUGGUAGUUUAAAAAACUUGCCAAGUGGACAGUUGAAGCAGCAAGCCCAUCAGUAGAGGAAGGUCUUAGCAUGCAUCAUCAUCUGCAGUCAUCCUUCUACUUAUCAGUUUUCCAGGGAGCCAGAACAGCUGGACAGGAACAUGUAUAUUACCCUCCAGGGCUGUCAUAGGAGAUGGUGUCUUAUUAAGCUUUACAAAUAAACAACCGAGGAGUGCAUUAUCAAGUAUAUGAAGAUAAAAAUUCUAAUCGGAAAGGACUGAUCCAAUUUCUUUAGCAGUCAGUAGAAACAUUCCCACUGACUGCACGAUGGAAAUGAUGGUAGGCUUAAUAAGUGGACAUAAUCUGUUAUUCUGUCAUGAAUAUA